rnacentral:lncRNA from 1 species
UGAAAAUAAAUACUUACAUAUUUUUUAAGGAAAUGACUUAUAAAAGACAGUAUGGUAAGGAUGGUCUAUUUUAAAAGUCUGAGUUUACUGUGUGUUUUCUCUCCUUUUAUAAGCAGAAUCAGAGAGCUGGGACCAUUUCAGUAGGUCCUUGGGCUGCCUGAAAACUAUGACCCUGGAGCAUCAUUUACUCAAAAUGCUCAUCCAAAAUCAGGACAUCAAAACUAGUUACUCUUCACCUUAUGGAAACGAAUACCCUAAGAUUUCCUCUGGACACUUUCCACACAUCCUCAUCUGGCCCCUGCUCAUGAGCAAGUUGAAUUAG